rnacentral:lncRNA from 1 species
UGUAAAUGGAGCUACGUGGUUGUGGAGACUCCCUCGGAACGCUUUUUCGUGUUCGUUUCUUCUUUUCAGUUUUACCGGCGGCGGCGGCGGUGGUGGUGGUGGUGGUGGUGGAGGAGGAGGAGGAGGUGGUGGUGGUGGUGGGGCUUUUCUUUUUCUUUGAAGAUUUUGCCAUGAAACUUAAUUCACUUGAGAAGAAAUCCCUCAAAUCUUUAGAAAAAUGUAUGUGGUGGGGGUAGGGUGGCGAAUGGGGGGAGGAGAUGCGGCGGAGAAGUGGUGGUUUGUGGGUAGUGUAAGUGGCGGCGGCUGGAUUUGUGUGUUGAGUGAGUAAAUG